CUUCUGUCAGCCCCCGCCUUAGGGGCUGACAGACGUUACCAAGCCUUUUGACUUGUUUGUGGAUGAAAAACAGGGCUAUGCUAAAGGAGUCCUAACCCCAAAACUGGGACCCUGGAGGCGUCCUAUAGCCUAUCUGUCCAAGAAAUUGGAUCCAGUGGCGUCAGGAUGGCCACCAUGUCUUCGAAUGAUAGCAGCAGUGGCUAUCCUAAUUAAGGAUGCCACUAAGCUGACUCUGGGACAGCCAUUAACUUUGUUAACCCCUCAUGCCAUCGAGGCAAUAAUUCGCCAACCACCUGACCGCUGGGUGUCCAACGCCCGACUCACCCAUUACCAGUCCUUGCUGCUGGACACGGACCGGAUUCAGUUCGGCCCCAUGGUCACACUGAACCCAGCAACCCUCCUGCCGCUUCCUGGAAAAGCAAAUCCCCACAACUGCCAGCAGAUUCUUGCAGAAACACAAGGAACCCGACCAGACCUCACGGACCAACCUAUGAAAGAUGCAGAACUGGUCUGGUACACCGACGGGAGCAGUUAUUUGCUCAAUGGGGAACGGCGAGCAGGAGCAGCCAUCACCACCGAAUCUGAGGUAAUCUGGACGAGUGCAUUGCCGGGUGGAACCUCAGCUCAGCGGGCAGAACUAAUAGCUCUGACACAAGCCUAAAGUUGGCUGAGGGAAAGAAGCUAAAUGUGUAUACGGACAGUAGAUAUGCCUUUGCCACUGCUCAUAUACACGGGGAAAAUUACAGACGGCGAGGGCUACUAACUUCAGAUGGGAAAGAAAUCAAAAAUAAGACUGAAAUAUUGGCCUUACUUAAAGCUCUAUUUCUGCCUAAAAAGUUAAGUAUCAUGCAUUGCCCUGGCCAUCAAAGAGGAGAUACUCCGGAGGCCAGGGGAAACAGAUUGGCGGAUGAGACAGCAGAAAAGCAGCCCAGGGGCCUCAACUCUUGGUAAUGACUUUGUUGCCCCAACGGGCUAACCCACAACAUGAUGACUAUGAGGAUAAAUGGGUCUAUGAGGACCAAGAUCUGGAUAUCAUACAGAAGCUAGACGCCUCUUACAACCCAGAGGACCAUACCUGGGAAUAUCAGGGAAAAACCAUAAUGCCCCUUAAAAAUGUUAAAGAAUUAGUAAAAUCAUUACACAAACUGACACAUCUUGGGGCUAAAAAGAUGAAAGAACUCUUAGACCGUGGAGAGGGUACUCUAUAUCUUCCAAAUAGGGAUCGACUCCUCCAGCGGGUUGCAGAAAAUUGUCAGGCAUGUGCCCAGGUAAAUGCUGGUAAAGUUAAACUUGGAACAGGAGUCCGGGUUCGAGGACAUAAACCCGGGACACAUUGGGAAAUAGACUUCACUGAAGUCAAACCUGGUAUGUAUGGAUAUAAAUAUCUUCUAGUCUUUGUUGAUACUUUUUCCGGAUGGGUAGAGGCAUUCCCCACCCGGCAUGAAACUGCCAAAACCGUUGCUAAGAAGCUAUUGGAAGAAAUUUUCCCAAGGUAUGGGGUACCCGGAACAAUUGGGUCGGAUAACGGGCCUGCCUUCGUCUCCCAGGUAAGUCAGGCGGUGGCCAAUUCGCUGGGGAUUAAUUGGAAGUUACAUUGUGCAUAUAGACCCCAAAGCUCAGGGCAAGUAGAAAGAAUGAAUAGAACAAUCAAGGAGACUUUAACUAAAUUAACGUUUGAAACUGGCACUAGAGACUGGGUACAACUCCUACCCUCAGCUUUAUAUCGGGCCAGAAAUACUCCUAGCCCUCAGGGACUAACCCCAUUUGAAAUCCUAUAUGGUGCCCCACCACCUGCUGUUAAUUUCUAUGAAACUGAAAUUUCUGCCUCCCUCACCCCAUCUGUGCAGACUCAUUUACGCGCACUACAAUUGGUCCAGAACGAGGUCUGGAAGCCAUUAGCAGCGGCAUAUAAAGAAGAACUCAAAACCCCUUCGGUGCCACAUUCCUUCAAAAUCGGGGACACCGUCUGGGUACGCAGACAUCAGAGCAAGAACCUCGAACCUCGGUGGAAAGGACCCUACACUGUCCUGCUGACCACCCCCACCGCCAUCAAGGUGGACGGCAUUGCUGCUUGAAUCCACGCUUCCCACGUGAAGACUGCUCAGCCGUUAGAAUCAGCCGACACCCAUCAAGAUUCGGGAUGGAAGUUACAACGUACUCAAAACCCGCUAAAGAUAAGACUUACGCGCUGUUAACUGUCUUUGCUCUUUGUUUUGCUCCCCUUGUCUUAGGUAAUAACCCCCAUGUUCCCAUGAAGUUGAUUUGGCAGGUAUACUCUCAAACGGGGGAAAUAAUUUGGUCAAUUACAGCAACCCAUACCCCUGGCACCUGGUGGCCCACCCUGACCCUUCCUGACUCUUGUAAGCUGAUAGAGCCCUACCAACAAGGCCACCACAAGCUCCAGGAUGGCUGCUCUGCUGGGUGCCAGCUAGCUCAAACUGAUUUUUAUGUCUGCCCCCGGGACGGACGAGACAGAUCCCGAGUAUUCAAAUGUGGGGGCACUGAAGCAUACUACUGCUCCUCCUGGGGCUGCGAAACCACCGGAGAUGCAUACUGGAACCCCACCUCGAGUUGGGACCUGAUACAGGUGUCCAAAAAUUACACCGGGCCCCCUUCCUCCUGCCAAUUGCCCCUUAAGAUACAAUUCACGGACAAAGGCAAGGAGACUAUCGAUCCCUGGCUUACUGGUAGAACAUGGGGACUCAGAUGGUAUAUGACUGGGUACGAUCCAGGUGUAAUUUUCACCAUCAGACUGUCCCAAACCCCAGCUAUAAUUAGCUCGAUAGGACCUAAUUCCGUACUCGGAGACCAAAAGAUCCCCUCACUACCAAGCAGCCGAAGGUUCCCUCCAGUAAGCCACCCAUGCCUCAAACUGUAACUAUGGAUUAUCAAACCUCUAGUUAUUCCCCUGAGCCCAUUCACCCUGGGACUGGAGACCGAUUGUUAAAUUUGAUUCAAGGAGCAUUUUAUGCCCUCAACGCCACCAGCCCAAAUCGCACCCAAGAUUGUUGGCUGUGUCUCACCUCUGGCCCACCUUACUAUGAAGGGAUAGCAAUUAUGUCUGACUGGAACAGUAGCACAAACCCUGACCCUAAGUGUGUUUCCCUACCAAGCUAUAAACUUACCAUCACUGAAGUAACAGGACAAGGGGUCUGUAUGGGGAACGUACCCCUAUCACACCAACAUCUCUGUAAUACUACCCUCCCAGUGACAGGCUCACAAAAUAACUAUUUGUGGGGUCCCCACGGAACUUACUGGGCCUGCAAUACCGGACUGACCCCUUGUAUUUCUACGGCAGUCCUCAAUGCAACCACUGAUUUUUGCGUAUUAAUACAAUUAUGGCCUAAGAUAUCAUAUCUAGGGUCAGACUAUGUCCUAGAACACCUUGAGGGACGGAAGAGGUACCCUAGAGAGCCCAUAAGCAUGACCAUAGCUCUACUACUGGGAAUUGGAGGAAUAGCAGCCGGAAUAGGAACAGGAACUGUUGCGCUAGUGCAAGGUAACCAAUUAUUGCAACUACAGGCAGCAAUGAACGAGGAUUUAACUGCAAUGGCCAAGUCUAUCACAGCCCUAGAAAAAUCUCUCUCCUCCCUCUCGGAAGUAGUGCUGCAGAAUAGGAGAGGAUUAGAUCUGUUGUUCCUCAGAGAAGGUGGUCUUUGUGUAGCCCUUCAAGAACAGUGCUGUUUCUAUGCUGACCAUACUGGAGUAGUCAGAGAAACUAUGGAAAAGGUCACUGAAAGGUUGGCCAAGAGACAAAAAGAAUUUGAGUCUCAACAAGGAUGGUUUGAACACUGGUUUAGUAAAUCCCCAUGGUUAACUACUCUGCUAUCUACCAUAGCAGGACCUUUGGUUAUUUUGCUGUUACUCCUGACAUUUGGACCUUGUAUACUUAAUAGACUAGUGCAGUUCAUGAAAGAAAGACUUUCCAUAAUCCAGACUAUGGUUCUAACUCAACAAUACCAGUUGCUUAAGCAACAAACAGGGUCGCAGACGAGCCUGGUUCAAGACCCCGAACAAGCAGACAGAUGGAUAUAAGAUUCUAUCCAUGUUCAAGAAAAAGGGGGGAAUGAGAGACCCCAGCCCAAUAACUUUAGGCCCAGUUACAAAAUCAUCAGGGCAUGCUACAAACCUGCGCAGGCACCAGAUGUGUUUUUCAGAUAACCAGUUAACAGGCACCAGAUGUGUUUUUCAUAUAACCAGUUAAAUGUAACCGAUUAGAAAAGAACAGGAUGGUUGGGAAAGAACCGGGUAAUUGUGUCCCAGGACACGAUCGGGCAAACCGGAACAGAUAAGCAGGAACAGAACCGGGUAAUUGUGUCCCAGGACACGAUUGGGAAAACCGGAACAGAUAAGCAGGAACAGAAAGAAUGGAAUGUAAAACCGUGGGUUUUCCAGGAACAUACAGUGAAAAACGACCUUGCUCUUUAGGUGACCUAUAUGCUAGGUUCAAAAUGACCAAUAAGAAACCUGUUGCUUGCUGCGCGCACGAAACCUGCUCCUUUACCCCAUAAAAGAUCUGUGCCCCAAAGCCCGGUGUGCCAGUUCACCGAAGCUCCGGCUGAGGUUCUGCUGCGCACCCGCAGGCGCCUGUGUACCAAUAAACUGCCUCUUGCUUUUGCAGCCAGUGUCUCGUGCGUUCUUCCUUGGACAGGGAGUCGGAGGGUCUUUCAGAAACAGGUAUGGCCACUUCCUACUGGAUGGAGAGACCCCGGCGUCCACUUCAGUCUGAGUGUGAGGGUCAAGCUUCUGCUGGUGUCAGAGCAACUGACCCUGCCACCAGCCCUCAUUUGAGAUGUCAGGGUAGACUUCCCAGAGGGACCAUUCUACUGGUGCUGCAAGGCAGUCAGGCCACAGAGGGAAACGUGAGGAGGUAAAAACAGAAGUGAUAGCCUGUGGAAAAGCUUUGUGGCCUGCAGAGCAAACUGUGGAAGAACAGAAGGUGUGCUGUGCUGGAAACUUGU
rnacentral:lncRNA from 1 species